rnacentral:rRNA from 1 species
UACGAAGGGGGCUAGCGUUGCUCGGAAUCACUGGGCGUAAAGCGCACGUAGGCGGAUCUUUAAGUCGGGGGUGAAAUCCUGGAGCUCAACUCCAGAACUGCCUUUGAUACUGGGGAUCUCGAGUCCGGAAGAGGUGAGUGGAACUCCGAGUGUAGAGGUGAAAUUCGUAGAUAUUCGGAAGAACACCAGUGGCGAAGGCGGCUCACUGGUCCGGUACUGACGCUGAGGUGCGAAAGCGUGGGGAGCAAACAGGG